rnacentral:tRNA from 1 species
AGGACGUUAGCUCAGUUGGUAGAGCAUCGGACUUUUAACCCGAAUGUCACUGGUUCGAUCCCAGUACGUCCUA